rnacentral:rRNA from 1 species
UACGUAGGGUGCAAGCGUUGUCCGGAAUUAUUGGGCGUAAAGAGCUCGUAGGCGGUCAGUCGCGUCUGCUGUGAAAACUCGGGGCUUAACUCCGGGCCUGCAGUGGGUACGGGCUGACUAGAGUGCGGUAGGGGAGACUGGAAUUCCCGGUGUAGCGGUGAAAUGCGCAGAUAUCGGGAGGAACACCAAUUGCGAAGGCAGCUUGCUGGGACGAUACUGACGCUGAGGCGCGAAAGCGUGGGGAGCAAACAGG